UGGGGUUUAGCUUAGUGGUAUGGCACUUGCCUAGCAUGCAUGAGGCCCUGGUUUCAACCCUGGUACCACAC
rnacentral:tRNA from 1 species